rnacentral:rRNA from 1 species
UUUAUUGGAGAGUUUGAUCCUGGCUCAGGAUGAACGCUGGCGGCGUGCCUAAUACAUGCAAGUCGAGCGAAUGGAUUAAGAGCUUGCUCUUAUGAAGUUAGCGGCGGACGGGUGAGUAACAC